GGCGGGGUAGCUCAGUCGGUUAGAGCAGCGGAAUCAUAAUCCGCGUGUCGGGGGUUCGAAUCCCUCCCCCGCUA
rnacentral:tRNA from 2 species